CUUCUGCCUGAACACGCUUUUAAAUCUCACUGCUGUAGUCUGGCAACUUUUGCCUGUUGGUUUCUGUGCUGAAGUUGUGAGACUUUUGUGUUAGAGAAGUGAGAAAUGGGACCAUCCCUCUUGUUUUCCAUCUUAAAAGCUUUGAACUUUGGAUGUUUAUGAGUAAUUUCUCUACAUAUUUAAUCUGUCAUAAGACUCUGUUUUUCCCUUUUGCUUGUUGUGAAGUUUAAAUGCCUCACCUUGUGUUGCCCUCAGGAACGUCACUGCUGUUUCAGCUCUCGCUGUUGAGGAUGUAUAUGAGUGGAUAAAUUUGUGUGAGUGUUAAUUAUUUGGAUGGUUUGUCUGUGUGUGUGUGUGUGUGUGCUCAGGAGCUGAGAGGGAAAUGUGAUUAGACUCUGACAGGGAACUGUAGGUUUCACGUGUGAGAUCACAGAUGAGGUAAAUGAGGAACAACUGUGUGAGAUCACUUAGAUACAGACAACAGUGUUCACACACAUGCACAUGGCUAUACUGACAAUACCCCACUCAGUAUUGGCACCUUUAACAGGAACAGCAACACUUUUUUCAUGUGUCCUCCUGUGUGUGUGUGUGUGUGUGUGUGUGUGUGUGUGUGUGUGUGUGUGUGUUUCCAUAGAUGGUCAGUGUUUUUUUUUUCUAGCAAGCUGCUGGUAGAGAACAGGCUCUGCUGGCAGGAGUUUGACUCCACUGUAAUUAACCACAGGGUGCAUAAUACAGUAAAACCAACAGGGGCAGCGAGUCAUUCACACAAUGCAAAUACUGGUGCUGACUCAGAGCAGGCAGCAGGGUUUAGCUCACUGAAAAGAUGACACUUAACUCCGAAACCCCAUGACACCCUCUUCUUUGAAAGUAAAAUCAUUUUUAGCACUGUGACUAACUACUAUUUUAAUUAUCAAUUAACUAAUCAUUUGGUUUAUGAAAUGUUAAAAAAUUAUGAAAAAUUGUGAAUUGCAGUCUCAGAGCAGUCUUCAAAUGUCUUCUUUUGUCCGACCAGAACUCCAAAGCCCAAAUAUAUAUUGAGUUAACAAUGAAAUAAAACAGAGAAAAGCAGGACAUCUUAACAGUUGAGAAUCUGAAACUAGCAAAUGUUUUGCUUUUUGCUUGAAAAACGACAGAAAUGAUUAAUCGAUUAUCAAAAUCUUUUUUGCUGUAUUUCUGGUCUUAUUGGUCUGAGAAUAUUUGAUAGGACUGGGUGAUAUGAUGAAAUCUAUAUCACAAUAAUUUGUCACAUGUAUCUCUAACAAUAAGAAUUUUUAAUACAUCUGUGCCUAUGACAUUUCCUUUCUUGCGCUGGCUUACUUUUUAUGUUUAUUGAUUACUGUAUGGCCAGUUAAAUAUUCUGGACUUCUGGACUAGACAUUAGGCUGAUUUCUUGGUUGAACAUCUGGUAAGAUGUCAGUGCUUGCUGUAGCUAUUCUCAGUUUUGUUAUGUGGGAUUCAAACAGUUUACUGUAUUUACUGUAAAAUUGAAAAUUUAUGAGAAAAUGUGGGUCAUAAAAGAUUCACAAGAGUUUCGGUAAUUCAUUAAAUUUGGUUUAUCGUCAUGUAAGAAUCUGUAAACUGAGCUGAACAAGGCUAAUCGACCUCAUCAUCUCAGUGUAAUUUUCAUCUGAUGCUGAACUCAAAACAUGUUUAGUGUUUAAUCCACAUGCCCAAUUGCAGCAACGUCUCCUGCAGUUCAACAUGUGUUUUUCCACAGAAGUCUGCCUCGAGCUCAACACAACUACAGGCGUAACUCCCAGUGGUGCAUGCACAGCACCUGAACACACGUCACCCCUUGUAAAUAGGGCAGAGAAACCCAGUGCGCAGCUUACACCAGACAAUGGCACAGUCAGUUCCUGGGCUCCAAAAUGACAAAAUUGCUUAGAUGGCUUCCAAAUGGUGUGUGUGUUUUCCUGUCUGUUGUGAACGAGUGUAUACAGUAGGCCUGUGCUCCUGCCUUUGCGAGACUGUAAGUGUGUGAGUCUGUUAGUGUUAGUGCAUGCAUCCACACCUACCUCUCCCUGUCAGCCGGGUCUCCCUCUAAUUGACGCAUUGCCGUUCCCCUGUAGCGCCGGUUUGCAGUGUCGGCCCGGUCCCUCCCAAACCACAAGGGACUCUUUGUUUGUAAUUUAUGAAUUAGUGUGUGGUUUGGGUUACGAGAAGAGAGGGCAGGCCAGAGGCUGAUGGCACAGGAACAGGAAUAAGCCCAGCCCGCUCCAGCGCUCAUUCUGAUUAGCUGUAUGUUAACUCGCUUAUGUUUAUCAUUCCAGAUUAGCAGUCUGGAUAUCCUCUGGAGAUAGAGAGAGAGAUUGAGAUGACAGUAGAAAAUGAUUAAUGGGGAAGAUGAAUGGGCGUUUUCAUUCUCUUUCCCUCUGUUUUUGUCUCUCUUUUGCACCUUUUUCCCCACACACAGAGAUGUGACUUUAUGUUUGACAAUCCUGUGAUAAUCUUUGUAACUCUGUGUCCGGCCAUCAGAUAAGGCUGACUGCUCAGUUGUUAUAACAGAAAACAGAAAGUGCAGAAAGCCAGACCAUGUCUCUCUCUCUCCCUGCUUCUUUCUAACUUCGUAUAGCUUCAUACCCCCUGCUUGGAACGCUCUUUCCGCCAUCCAUUGGCUUCAUUUUGCUCUUUUUCAUCAAGUGGUUUUAUUUACUUUGUCUAGUCUGAAUGGAACCUGGCACUGUACUAAGCUUUGGCCUAGUUCUCUCACAGAAAAGCAAAGCCCUCUUUCCUUUCCAACCCCCAUCUUUUUUCUCUACCCGUGAUUUGAUUUUUAUCCUUUUCUUCUGUGUUCUCUGUUUUUGAAACUCAGCAUGCAUUCCUAAUGGCUUCAGCUCUCCUAAAGGGGUGUUUUCUUUUUUCUUUCCUUGCUACUGCCCUUCCUUCCCUCCUUCCUUCCAGAAAGUCUUUCUCCAAAAAAAUACUCUAAAAUAAAAGUCAUUUUGAAGUGUAUGGGGAGGGCAAGCGGUCUCCUGAUAGCCAAAGCAGAUCCCCCCCCCCAAAAAAAAACAACUUCCUGGCAUUCUUCUGCACCAACAUGCAGCUGUUUGUAGGGGGUGCUGAAGUUCUCCUGUCCCCCAUAACCCCCCCUAUACCUCACCCCACCACCAUCUCAGUAAUACCUGUACAUCCUCAUACCAUUAUCUAUAUGGCUUUGGCCUCAGACCCCCCCUCUACUGCAUGUCUCCAGUGUCCCAGGCAUCAGCCAUGACUCGUCUCCUACAGCAACUCUACUCCCCCAUCAUAGCUGCUAGGGACCCCCACUCUCAAUUAUUAUACACCACAAUUCUCUGUUAAUAAGCCAACUUUGCAGACAAUAGUUCUGCUUCCAAAAGGUAGAGCCCUUUACUUUAUAGUUCAUCUACAAGAACUUAGCUUUUCCUUUCCUCUUGGGCCAAUUCUUUGUGCUUUCAAAGGACCAAGUUUUUGCAGACAGUCUUUUCCUGGAGGAGCAGUGUUUUAUCACUGCUCUGAUGUCUGUGUUAUUGCCCGGAUUGGUCCUGGAUGGAGGGAUUUGAGGAGCCUCAUAGCUGUGGGGAGUCAUUUAUCUCCCAGUGAGAUUGUGGGGAGCAGGAUUUUGUGACAUCACAACUAGUUUGGAAGACAGUCCUGGUUUAACAUGUCUUAAAACAUCUGAAGGGCAGACAAACAGUGACCGG